rnacentral:rRNA from 1 species
AUUGAACGCUGGCGGCAGGCUUAACACAUGCAAGUCGAGCGGGGGAAGGUAGCUUGCUACCGGACCUAGCGGCGGACGGGUGAGUAAUGCUUAGGAAUCUGCCUAUUAGUGGGGGACAACAUCUCGAAAGGGAUGCUAAUACCGCAUACGUCCUACGGGAGAAAGCAGGGGAUCUUCGGACCUUGCGCUAAUAGAUGAGCCUAAGUCGGAUUAGCUAGUUGGUGGGGUAAAGGCCUACCAAGGCGACGAUCUGUAGCGGGUCUGAGAGGAUGAUCCGCCACACUGGGACUGAGACACAGCCCAGACUCCUACGGGAGGCAGCAGAGGGGAAUAUUGGACAAAGGGGGGGACCCUGAUCCAGCCAUGCCGCGUGUGUGAAGAAGGCCUUAUGGUUGUAAAGCACUUUAAGCGAGGAGGAGGCUACUUUAGUUAAUACCUAGAGAUAGUGGACGUUACUCGCAGAAUAAGCACCGGCUAACUCUGUGCCAGCCGCCGCCGUAA